rnacentral:rRNA from 1 species
CCCUUAGAUGUUCUGGGCUGCACGCGCGCUACACUGAAGCGUUCAACGAGUAUUCACCUUGCCCGGGAGGGUUGGGUAAUCUUUUGAAAACGCUUCGUGAUGGGGAUAGAUUAUUGCAAUUAUUAAUCUUCAACGAGGAAUUCCUAGUAAGCGCGGGUCAUCAUCCCGCGCUGAAUACGUCCCUGCCCUUUGUACACACCGCCCGUCGCUCCUACCGAUUGAGUGGUCCGGUGAGGCUUUGGGAUCUGAGCGGAAAGAGCGUUUCGCUGUUUCUGCUCGGAAAACUCAGUCGAACCUUAUCAUUUAGAGGAAGGAGAAGUCGUAACA